UCCCAUAUGGUCUAGCGGUUAGGAUAUUCGCCUCUCACGUGAAUGGCCGGGGUUCGACUCCCCGUGUGGGAA